GAUGAAGAACGUAGCGAAAUGCGAUAAGUAAUGUGAAUUGCAGAAUUCAGUGAAUCAUCGAAUCUUUGAACGCACAUUGCGCCCGCGAGUAUUCUCGCGGGCAUGCCUGUUCGAGCGUCAUUUCAACCCUCAAGCCCCCGGGUUUGGUGUUGGGGAUCGGCUCUGCCCUUCUGGGCGGUGCCGCCCCCGAAAUACAUUGGCGGUCUCGCUGCAGCCUCCAUUGCGUAGUAGCUAACACCUCGCAACUGGAACGCGGCGCGGCCAUGCCGUAAAACCCCAACUUCUGAAUGUUGACCUCGGAUCAGGUAGGAAUACCCGCUGAACUUAAGCAUAUCAAUAAGCGGAGGA
rnacentral:misc_RNA from 1 species